GACGAACGCUGGCGGCGCGCUUAACACGUGCAAGUCGAGCGAGAACCAGCCCUUCGGGGCUGGGGACAGCGGCGAACGGGUGAGUAACACGUGGGUAAUCUGCCCUCGGCAUCGGGAUAGCCCGGGGAAACCCGGAUUAAUACCGAAUAGCCUCCGGAGCCUUCGGGCGCCGGAGAAAAGGUAGCUUCGGCCUCUGGCCGAGGAUGAGCCCGCGGCGGAUUAGCUUGUUGGCGGGGUAACGGCCCACCAAGGCGACGAUCCGUAGCUGGUCUGAGAGGACGAACAGCAACACUGGGACUGAGACACGGCCCAGACUCCUACGGGAGGCAGCAGUGGGGAAUCUUGCGCAAAUGCGGGAAACCGUGACGCAGCGACGCCGCGUGGGGGAAGAAGGCCGUCGGGUUGUAAACCUCUUUCAGGAGGGACGAAGCUACUCGGGUUAAUAGCCCAGAGGGUGACGGUACCUCCAGAAGAAGCCCCGGCUAACUACGUGCCAGCAGCCGCCGUAACAC
rnacentral:rRNA from 1 species